rnacentral:rRNA from 1 species
UACGCCCCGGCCGUAUGCGGAACGGCUUCGGCUGGUCCGCCAAUCGGCUCGGGGCGCUGACUGUUGUCGGCUGUGCCGGCGACCUAAGUCCGGGGGCCCUAGGUGCCUCCGGUCACCGUCGUCGGCGCGGCCGGUUACCGCGCGCCGUAAGGCGUGCCCCUCGGGGCACUGCGCCGCAACGGCCUGUGGGCUCCCCAUCCGACCCGUCUUGAAACACGGACCAAGGAGUCUGACAUGCGUGCGAGUCGACGGGUUCUGAAACCUGGGAUGCGCAAGGAAGCUGACGAGCGGGAGGCCCUCAAAAGCCGCACCGCUGGCCGACCCUGAUCUUCUGUGAAGGGUUCGAGUUGGAGCACGCCUGUCGGGACCCGAAAGAUGGUGA